CCUACGGGAGGCAGCAGUGGGGAAUUUUGGACAAUGGGGGCAACCCUGAUCCAGCAAUGCCGCGUGAGUGAAGAAGGCCUUCGGGUUGUAAAGCUCUUUUGUCAGGGAAGAAACAGCAGCUCUAACACAGCUGUGAAUGACGGUACCUGAAGAAUAAGCACCGGCUAACUACGUGCCAGCAGCCGCGGUAAUACGUAGGGUGCAAGCGUUAAUCGGAAUUACUGGGCGUAAAGCGUGCGCAGGCGGUUAUAUAAGACAGGUGUGAAAUCCCCGGGCUUAACCUGGGAAUUGCAUCUGUGACUGUAUAGCUAGAGUGUGUCAGAGGGGGGUAGAAUUCCACGUGUAGCAGUGAAAUGCGUAGAUAUGUGGAGGAAUACCAAUGGCGAAGGCAGCCCCCUGGGAUAACACUGACGCUCAUGCACGAAAGCGUGGGGAGCAAACAGGAUUAGAUACCCUGGUAGUCCACGCCCUAAACGAUGCUGACUAGUUGUUCGGGAUUUUAUCCUGAGUAACGUAGCUAACGCGUGAAGUCAGCCGCCUGGGGAGUUACGGUUCGCAAGAUUAAAACGUUAAGAGUUAGUGGACGUUGAGAGNGCGACGAGGCACGAGGAGGUUAGG
rnacentral:rRNA from 1 species